ensembl:lncRNA LINC02532 long intergenic non-protein coding RNA 2532
AAGUUCCCUCUGUAUGCAGAAUAUUGUGCAACAUGGUUAUGGGUACUACAGUGGAUGUGAGUGUGUAGACCUUGUACAAUAGAGCUUAUAGGCUAAUGAGAAGACAGGAAGAAACAACAGGAACACAUAUAGCUGGAAUGCAGAUGGGAUCUGUGCUACUUACGCUAGCCAUGGGAUGAUUAGAACAAGAUAAGAGACAUGAGGAAGACUUCUUCAAGGAGGUGCUCAAGCCAUGUUUUGGAAAAGAGAACUCAAGGUCUGGCAGGGAGAAAGGAGCAAGGUCCUCUUCUCCCUGAAGGCUGUCACAGUUCCUGUGCAGAGAGAGAGGGCACUGCAGCACCCAGGCGCUGACUGCCUUUUGUCAGUCUCAUUUGCAGGCCCCCAGCUGGAGAACCCAGGAGGAAGAGGAAAAAAGUUUUUUCCUCCUCUACACUCCCCAUGCAUGACUAAAGAGUAGGAGGAGUCAGCAAGGCAGACAUAUAUAGUACCCAGGAGGUGGACAAACAACUGCCUUGGUGGAAACUCUGUCCUUUCUGGACUUAUCCUGGUGCCACUGAGACUGUGCAGCAAGCCAUGUAUCUGGCUCCCCUCCCACCUUCUCACCUUGGAACACCACCAGCUGUAGGCAUCUACAUGCAGCAGGAAGCAUCACUGAGUCCCACACUUACAGGGAAAGCAUCACCCGAAAGUGAGAAUGCCUAGAGGCAGGAAUCAUGGAGGCUUCCUUAACCGUCUGUCUGCAACAGCAGGUGCUAGAGAUGACACUGCAGAGUAGAGAACAAAGGAAUCUUAGUAAUUGUUCAAUCCAAUCUCCACACUUUAAAGAUGAAGAAACUGGUAUUGAGAAAAAUACACAGCUUAUCCAAGGUUGCACUGCUGGUUGGUAGCUGAGAUGAAUUUAGAACCCACAUCUGAUGACUACACCAUAUUGCUCCCAGUUUUCCUGUCUGUUCCACAUGUAAAAGUCUGACUCUUCACUUCUCCUUUGAGUAUAUAGACUUUUAACAUUUUUGUAUGUCAAGAUGGACUUUUCCUCAUACCCAGCCCCUGCCUUUUCUCCUCCCUUCAUACCUUGCAGGAUCUUUAACAGAAUUUAAAAGGAGUUUUUUGUUUUGUUUUGAUGUAUCUAAUAAAAGUCAAGGGAGGGAGAGGGCCAGUAUAAGCAAGAGUACAGUUUCCUAGUUUGUAGAUGCGGUAGUCUGAGGAAUCAGAAACACACAAAGGUUUGGAGAACUGGUACAUGCUCCCAGGUGGGAAGCCAGGACUCUUGGUAGGAUCUUGAGGACAAGGCAAAGGACAAUAAGAGAGCGAGGGGAUCCUAGAGGUGGAAUCAAGGAAGAGAAACUAGAGAGAGAAAAAGGAACUGGCUAUCCAUCCAUGAUGGAUCCUGUGUGGACUGAUGGGUGGCUUGGCAUCAUCCUUUAGUAGACUUCAUGUGGUUGAAUAAUUGGCCAAUGGAAGGAAUUUCUUUUUUGGUAACAGACUCUGUGUGUACAGUUAUGGGUCUUAAUUUAUAAUAAAAGGUUACAUUGAAAAUUG